UAUUAAUUUUUUAAAAACUGGAUAAAUUUUAUUUAUCCAAAUUUUUUAAAAAAUUUGGAUAAAAUAACAGCCAAAAAUAACUGAGAACUUUGGGGAUUGUGUAAGCGAAACUCAGUUGAUAAACGUGUAGGAUUAUGAUGCUAAUGUUUAACAAAUAUUUUUUUAGUUUAAAAUUACACGCAAUACUCCAAGCAGUAGAAACGCGAGAAACGCGAGAAACGCGAGAAACACACAAUUCUUGAAACAUACAAAAACUUGUAAUACUCGAAAAAGAAAAAAUAGAAAGUUGAUUAAAUGGAUCCUCCUACCAAAAAACUUACCGAUAAAACAAUUUCGUUAAUAACAAUGAUAAACUCUACUUUCGUCAAGUGCCCAAAGAAGUCCAAACAAACUUAUCACAGAUCACCCCGGAUGAGCAUAUAAUUGAAAUUUCACGCCUUCUUGCUAACUAAUAUUCCAAAACUUGCCCAGAGGUGGGAUUUGAACCACGGAUCUUUUGUUUCGAAAGCAAGUGCACUAUCACUACGCCACAGUUGCUCAAUACACUACUGUUUUGACGCUUUGAAAACUUUAAACAGAAUGUUCUUUAAUCGUUAGCGUAUUUUUAGUCAUUAUAACUUAACUUUAAAA